UACAGAGGUCCCAAGCGUUGUUCGGAUUCACUGGGCGUAAAGGGUGCGUAGGUGGCAGGGUAAGUUUGAUGUGAAAUCUCUGAGCUUAACUCAGAAACUGCAUUGAAUACUAUCUUGCUCGAGGGUUGGAGGGGGGACUGGAAUUUACGGUGUAGCAGUGAAAUGCGCAGAUAUCGGGAGGAACACCGGUGGCGAAGGCGGUUCUCUGGGCCUUACCUGACGCUGAGGAGCGAAGGCGUGGGGAGCGAACAGG
rnacentral:rRNA from 1 species